ACACUGCAUUUCCAUUUCUGUUGAUAUCAGUGCUGAAUUCUGAAUUGGUGAAUCUUAAUGUCUUAAUUAAAUCUUUUGUGUUUAGUGUGUUUCACUUUCUCAGGUGAUGCUCACCCGUAUUGGUGAGCAGACAUUAUCUCCUCCCUUGGCCGACAGGUUGUUUUGAUGUCCUUCCUCACAGCAAGCUCCAGGAGCCAUCUAUCAGCUCUGAGGAGGCCGAUUCAGACCGUGUGAGUCCGGUUUUGACAGAGGCCAUUUUAACUGGCAUUUAGUCGAGUUGACAGGAGCAGGAAAAUUCACUAUGCUAUGGAACAUAAUGGCUGGCCAGGGACAUCUCACUCAGUGGACAUCAGUCAGGGUUUGGAGGACUGGACCACUGACCUUUCGAACAUUUCAGACUCUGAUGAAGAAGAUGAUGUAUUGCUUGUUCCUGGAAAGUAUAGAGCAAUGGAGGACCACUUAAAGUGUGGCAAGUAUGAUGUAAUCAUCAAAUGUGGUGAUGUCAUUCAUGUGCUAAAGGAGAGUGCUAUGGGGCUUUGGUGAGUCACAUUUCAUUAUUCAUUUGUUCUUAAGUGGAGCAAAACAUACAUAAACAUAGAGGGCAGAGCAUUCUGAUAUUUAAAGGGGCAGUUCACUCAUCCAUGAGUAACAGAGGAAUAAGUAGUUGGAUUCUGAUGACCGUAUUUUCCGGACUUUAAGUCGCACUUUUUUUCAUAGUUUAGCUGGUCCUGCGACUUAUAGUCAG